GUUUUCUAAUGUCUGCUUUGCUCUCAACACCUGUGACUUGGAUCGCACGCAGGGGCCUGCAGGCUCAACUUGCACCAGGUAAAAUAAAUGUUGUGUAGCUCAACUGGAAAAAUGAGUGAACAGGGAGAAGUAGAAGUCACCUCUUCCGUCAACCAGUCCUCAGUUACAAACCACACUGAAGUUGACGGUUUGACUAACUGUGAUCAGGUCGGCACUUCAGCCAAUCCCUUCUUUAUAAUUGUCUUCAGUCUGGUGUUUCUGGUGGGUCUCCUCCUCAACAGCUUCAUCAUGAAGUUUUACUUCUGCCGACGUCACCGGCAGACGUCCAGCAGCAUUGUUGUCUACCUGAAGAACCUGGCAGCAGCUGACUUCCUGCUCUGUCUCUGUCUCCCCAUCCGCAUCGCCAACUAUGCCAGCAACACAGUCGCUGUCCGCCUGGUCCAAUGCAACUUUGGCUCCGCCCUCUUCUUCCUCAACAUGUACGCCAGCAUCAUGUUCAUGUGCUACAUUGCUGCUAACAGGUAUCUGAAAAUUGUCCGAGGAACUUCAGGAACUCACAUCCUGCAGACGG
rnacentral:lncRNA from 15 species